ACAGCAGCCGCCGCGGUAAUACGUAGGGUGCAAGCGUUAAUCGGAAUUACUGGGCGUAAAGCGUGCGCAGGCGGUUAUAUAAGACAGAUGUGAAAUCCCCGGGCUCAACCUGGGAACUGCAUUUGUGACUGUAUAGCUAGAGUACGGCAGAGGGGGAUGGAAUUCCGCGUGUAGCAGUGAAAUGCGUAGAUAUGCGGAGGAACACCGAUGGCGAAGGCAAUCCCCUGGGCCUGUACUGACGCUCAUGCACGAAAGCGUGGGGAGCAAACAGGAUUAGAUACCCGCGUAGUCCCUGUCUCUUAUAA
rnacentral:rRNA from 1 species